rnacentral:rRNA from 1 species
UACAGAGGUCUCAAGCGUUGUUCGGAUUCAUUGGGCGUAAAGAGCGUGUAGGCGGCCAGGUAGGUCUGCUGUGAAAACUCGAGGCUUAACCUCGAGCUGUCGGCGGAAACCAUCUGGCUAGAGUCCGGAAGAGGAGAAUGGAAUUCCCGGUGUAGCGGUGAAAUGCGCAGAUAUCGGGAAGAACACCCGUGGCGAAGGCGGUUCUCUGGGACGGUACUGACGCUGAGACGCGAAAGCGUGGGGAGCGAACAGG